rnacentral:rRNA from 1 species
CCUACGGGAGGCAGCAGUAGGGAAUCUUUCACAAUGGGCGAAAGCCUGAUGGAGCAACGCCGCGUGCAGGAUGAAGGCCUUCGGGUUGUAAACUGCUUUUAUAAGCGAGAAAUAUGAUGGUAACUUAUGAAUAAGGAUCGGCUAACUACGUGCCAGCAGCCGCGGUCAUACGUAGGAUCCGAGCAUUAUCCGGAGUGACUGGGUGUAAAGAGUUGCGUAGGUGGCAUAAUAAGUAGCUAGUGAAAUCUGGUGGCUCAACCAUUCAGACUAUUAGCUAAACUGUUAAGCUCGAGACCGUCAGGGGUAACUGGAAUUUCUAGUGUAGGAGUGAAAUCCGUAGAUAUUAGAAGGAACACCAAUAGCGUAGGCAGGUUGCUGGGACGGUUCUGACACUAAGGCACGAAAGCGUAGGGAGCAAACGGGAUUAGAUACCCCAGUAGUC